rnacentral:rRNA from 1 species
CGUGUAGGCGGUCGAUCAAGUCCGGUGUGAAAGCCCGGGGCUCAGCCCCGGAAGUGCACCGGAAACUAGCCGACUUGAGCGCGAUAGAGGAGGGUGGAAUUCCUGGUGUAGCGGUGAAAUGCGUAGAUAUCAGGAGGAACAUCGGAACCGGCGAAGGCGGCCCUCUGGCUCGUUGCUGACGCUGAGACGCGAAAGCGUGGGGAGCAAACAGGAUUAGAUACCCUGGUAGUCCACGCUGUAAACGAUGGGUACUAGGUGUUCGGGGUGUUGACCCCCUGAGUGCCGACGCUAACGCAUUAAGUACCCCGCCUGGGGACUACGGCCGCAAGGCUAAA